rnacentral:rRNA from 1 species
UACGGGGGAGCAAGCGUUGUUCGGAUUUACUGGGCGUAAAGGGCGCGUAGGCGGCCACCGCAAGUCGACUGUGAAAUCUCCGGCUACCCGGAAAGGUCAGCCGAUACUGCGGGCUAGAGUGCAGAAGGGCAACUGGAAUUCUCGGUGUAGCGGUGAAAUGCGUAGAUAUCGAGAGGAACACCUGCGGCGAAGGCGGUUGCUGGCUCGACACUGACGCUGAUGCGCGAAAGCUAGGGAGCGACGG